UCCAGUCGGUCCACCCGAUGCCAAGGGCUCAACUCCCUCGAUUCAUUACUCCCUGACUUCUCCGUCUCUCGGUCCCCAUCGCACCGACUUCACUGCCCUCCUCUCCCGACUCCGCUUCAUCACCCGACGAUGCUGCUCAACGCAGUGCCACCACUGCAGUCGUAGCCCAGCAUUGCAGCUACCCGAGGGCAAGCCUACCACGAUCUCCUUCUUCCGAUUGCCGCUUGUGCCUUAGCUCCGUCGCAUCUCUCUCGACCGAGCUCUCUUCCUCUUCUCCAGCAUUGGCCCCUUUCCCUCUGCCCUAUCCCUCCACCUUGCUGCAAAUCACCGACGCUCGAUCAUUUGGUACCACUCAGCAUCGUCUGUCCGCCGUCCUUGGCGCAGCACCUGGGCGCUGCACCUCCGACCACGGUAGAUCCAGUCACAGUUAUCGGCAACGGCUUGUCCUAGCUCCGGCAACAAUUUUCUAGCAGCAAGGUUUUCAGCCGUGUGUCAACAGGGAAGUCUCCGACUUGGGGUACUUGGGUGGAGAUUAGUGACUCCACCUUGUUGUAGCCACUAGAUCCGGCAGCAACCUCCUCUAGAAGGGGGUAAGUACAAAUUUUGGACUCUAUUGAGACGGCAUCACAACGUGGGAUUUGUUUCGAUACGAUUUUCGUUUUG